rnacentral:lncRNA from 1 species
AUUUACAUAAACAAUAAACUCAAUCCAACUGCCCCCCCCAAAUACAUCUUUGUUUACAGUAAAUGCAACCUAAAGCCAGAUUCGUGGAGGCGGGAGAGGUUCUUUACGUAGGCAAUAUGAUUAGGCCAGCAGUUUUGCAACUGUGCAGGAGAGCAGGACUGUGUGUAUUUCCUCUCUUGCAAUCAGCAGGGAGAAAAUGGUUUUUAAUGUUCUCCACGCUUCCUAUAUCAUAGAUAUUUAAAUAUUUGGACCACUCAAUAUGCUAAAACGCUUGCACCAGCCACACAAAUUGACUUCCACGUUUCUGCUAGGGCUGCAGGUGCCUUUCCAGGGGAGGAGAAAAUGGAAGGCAUGGAAGAGAAGAGCUAAAAGGCUGCCAGAGGCUGGUACCCAAGCGCCUCAGUGGAUUCACAGGACCAUGGAAGAGGGGACUGCAUUUCUCCAGAGCAGACAACCCUUGGUGGAGAAACUGAGGCCCCACAGAUAAGUAAAUUUCAGAGCUAAAGCAGAGCCUGGGGCCUUGCCUCCCAAUUCAGUGCUUUCUGUCUGUCUAGAAUCAGCACCCAGGCCUCACUGGCACCUCAGCCAAAGGUGUUUCCAUGAUCUUCAGAGGCCCAGCCUGGGUGAGCUGACAGGCUACUCUGGGCAGCAGGGAGGAGGUGACAGAGAAGGAGUUCAGGGAACAGGAAUGUCCAACUAGCAAGUGUCAACCACAAAGCAGAAGGACCUCAGGAACUUCUCCCUGUGGAUAGGAACAGUGGUCUGCCAAGGAAUUUCAUCUUAUGUGCCUAUGAAAGCUUUCAAACAUAUAAUUAUGUAAUUUACUUCUUCGAACUGGUGCAGUUGACGAUGAGAUGGCAGCCUGCUCCAUCUCCGCUGUGCCCCACAGCUUUCCUGGAAUUUUUUUUCUGAACUCUCUAGCACAGGGUUGGCCGUUUCUUGUACAUCUUCUCAGCAAAAAGCGCCCAGAGACCCUAGGAACAUCACAAGAGGGACCUUAGACAAGAGAAUUUUACACUUUACCACAGGGAGCUGUGGGCCACCAUUGAAGAUGUGAUCAUUCAAUCAACAUUGAUUGCCACUGUGCAGGGGGCUGCGGAAAAUACAGGAAAAACCAAAGUUCACAGCUCACCAUGCCAAGGGUAGGGACAGCUGAGGAGGAUCAUCUGGAUCUAUUGAGAACAAAGCACUGGAGAGAGGCUGAAAGUCACCUUACCGGGGCUGGCUGCAACAUCUCGAUCCCUCCACCAAUUCAGCCUGAUCCUCCGAGGCCUAGAACUUGGCUGCCCAUAUUGUGAGUGCACAUGAGCGCUCCUCCAACUGAAAGUUAAUGGUGACCUGUACUCACCUGUCUGCAAUGAUGAAUGCUCCCAGGCCCUACCUGGUGUUGACCCCUCUCUUCUCAGCUGGAUCCCUUCCUGCAAGCUCAGCAUCUGAUAGGACCAAGUCUGAUCAGCAGGUAAGCUCGCUGAGAAUCAGAUACAGUCCCCAUUGCUAUUAGCCCAGCACAGACUCUGGGCUUCCUUCCAGCCUGGAUGAUUCUUUCAUCAGAUAUUUAUUGC